CAUGGAACACGGGAGAGCAUACGUACCCAAGUGUGUGGCAUGAUCGAACCAUUGCUCGCCAUUGCUUGCAGCUGUCCCCAAGACAGCUGCUGCAGAGAAGCCACAGUGAAGAAAUGACUCCUCCUAUCAAAGACCCCAUCAAAGAGCUAACUCUUGCCCAACUUGGAGCAGGAGGGAGCACACGCUGAUUGGAACUGAGAACACAGACUUCCAGGCCCCCAAACUCUAAGAGCCAUGGUCACGGAGAGAAAAGUCACUUGGGGAUUUGGGGUGGUACCAGUGGGGCAAACGGAUUAGACAGAAGUGACCUCCAUGGUAACUAAUUCCCCCAAGACUGUUCCCAUAGCAAACCGAACCACUGCACGUCUACAGAAGGGGCAUCUCAGUGAUCAGGAGUACGGUCCAAGGCUUGGGAUUACAGGAGCUAAAAGGAGUGUAACCUGCCUGAGUCUGGUGUUCUAGAAAGAAUCACUAACUGGGUGCAGUUCUCAUUGCACAAUGUGGGACCAGUCCUUCUCAGCAAACCUUUCUGUUACCCUUCGAAGAGCUCCGGGUAUUUGUGGUGAGGGGAGCCAAGUAGGUAGACUCUAUCUGUAAGCUUGAUGAUACUAUUCUCACGAUAGGCUAAGUGAAGCAGCCCCCACUUCCUACUCUUUGUUGGGAAAAAAGACAUCUGAGGUAGGUUGGUUCCUCUCUGGGAGUGCUUCUUAGGACACCAGCUGCCAGAACAAUUCCUGGCUCCUUUCCAGCACUCAAGAAAUGUUCAUGGUAUCGUUCUUCCAUAGGAUGCAUGGCCAUCCACACCCAGGAAGACUGACACUCAAGCCUAAUAUCUGUGUCCAACUCCUUAGAGAAGGACUCCUUCUGGAAGCAGCCUGGACCCAAAGCCUUCAACAGCACCAAGGUUCCAGGCCCCAGCACAUCUUAAAGGAGACGGCCCAGGACCCAGGACUUCUGGAACUCAGCCCAGGAGUCAGCAGGGGCAAUCUAGACCUUUCUGGGUCUAUGGCCUCCUUGCCCCAUGUCCCAUGCCCCAUUGCUUCUAUCCCAGCUCUCUGGACCCAGUUGACAAGGGACAGCUUUUCCUUCAGUUCCUGAGUGUCACAGCUGCUCCGGAUACUGGGCCAGGAUCUAGGGAUCGAAAAAGGCUUAAGACUCAGUCCUUGCCCCCAAAAUGCUAUCCUAGCACCUGUAAAUAGGUGUGAAUGGGAACAGAAAGUACAGAGUAGGAGCAAAUGUUGAAAGAACAGGAGCUGAAGUCAUGAAGGACCCCGAAUGUCAAGCUAAGGGACUCUUUGUCCCACAUUCAGGGACCAGAGACAAUCUCGAAGGUUGACUAAGUGGGGAAGGGAUAGGACCAGGUGCGCCCAGGCAGAGAGGGAAAGAGGGGUCCCACGCUCCCUGAGACAUGGCUCCCUAGCCACCAGAAAUGCCAAAGGGCAUGCCAGCUUCUCCCCCCCCGCCCCCCCAGAGUCCAGGUGCCAGGCUGGCUUUGCCCUUGCUCUCUGGCUUACUUUAACCCCAGGCCCCUCACCCUUCUUGCCAGCAUGACCAGGGGAUUUGGAUCAUCUUGUUGAAGACCCAGAAGUCUCCUAGACAUCACAGUAAUGCAAAUGUUAGAUCACUGGCUUGGAGACAGGUAAGAACACUGAGGUUAUGUGAUUAAGCCAGAGCUGCACGACUGGAAAUGGAAUCACCAGCACCCAACUCAGGAUGCCUGCCUCCAAGUCCUGCACUCUUUCUAGUGCCCCAAACUACCUCUCGAUCUCCCUGAGGAAGUCUUGCUAGCUCCCCACACUGCCUCUCCUCUCCCUGAAGAAAUCCUUGCAGUGGCUUUGCAGAGCUCCUCUCUGAAAAGCACAGGAGCAGAGAAGUCCAGAGUUUGAAAGGACCUGCUGCAUUCCCACACAAGGCAAGAACCCCUCCCACGGUAUUCGUGGCGGACGCACACGUCCUGUUUCCCGGAAAGGGGAAGUGCGGUGGCCCAAUAUUAACAAGGCCGUGAUGGAGUGGAUUAUCUAGGUGGCAUUCGCCACUAAAUCAUAAGGAAAACCCAUCUAUGGAACAAGAAAACCAGCACUGGUUAAUUCAGAGGCUCCAUGAUGUCAUCGGGGACCCAGGUUCUUUCCCGCAUUCGGCUCUGUCACCCUUAGGAGAUAAUGAAUUUUCCUCAGGUCAGAUUCGCUGGGGAGUUAUUUCUGGAAUCCAGCAAUUCCUCCAUUUUGAAUGCCAGACCUUUGUUAUCACCAGCCUUCUGGAGCUGCCUCAGGAUGAUAUAAAGAACCUGUUCUAAGAUGCCACGGGUGAAAAUAAAAGACAUUUGUUAGCCAGCUGUGCUCAGAAGUGUCCUUCCUGACGCAUCAGGUGGUUCAGGACAUGAGCACAGCUCCACUAUGAACCCAUGCUCCUCCU